rnacentral:rRNA from 1 species
CGUACUUGUACUGAUUGAGAUUUUAACACGAAGUGAGUGGCGAACGGGUGAGUAACACGGUGGGUAACCUGCCCAGAAGUAGGGGAUAACACCUGGAAACAGAUGCUAAUACCGUAUAACAGAGAAAACCGCAUGGUUUUCUUUUAAAAGAUGGCUCUGCUAUCACUUCUGGAUGGACCCGCGGCGUAUUAGCUAGUUGGUGAGGUAAAGGCUCACCAAGGCAGUGAUACGUAGCCGACCUGAGAGGGUAAUCGGCCACAUUGGGACUGAGACACGGCCCAGACUCCUACGGGAGGCAGCAGUAGGGAAUCUUCCACAAUGGACGCAAGUCUGAUGGAGCAACGCCGCGUGAGUGAAGAAGGGUUUCGGCUCGUAAAGCUCUGUUGUUAAAGAAGAACGUGGGUAAGAGUAACUGUUUACCCAGUGACGGUAUUUAACCAGAAAGCCACGGCUAACUACGUGCCAGCAGCCGCGGUAAUACGUAGGUGGCAAGCGUUAUCCGGAUUUAUUGGGCGUAAAGCGAGCGCAGGCGGUCUUUUAAGUCUAAUGUGAAAGCCUUCGGCUCAACCGAAGAAGUGCAUUGGAAACUGGGAGACUUGAGUGCAGAAGAGGACAGUGGAACUCCAUGUGUAGCGGUGAAAUGCGUAGAUAUAUGGAAGAACACCAGUGGCGAACGCGGCUGUCUGGUCUGCAACUGACGCUAAGGCUCGAAAGCAUGGGUAGCGAACAGGAUUAGAUACCCUGGUAGUCCAUGCCGUAAACGAUGAUUACUAAGUGUUCGGAGGGUUCCCGCCCUUCAGUGCUGCAUCUAACGCAUUAAGUAAUCCGCCUGGGGAGUACGACCACAAGGUUGAAACUUUCAAAGAUUGACCGGGGCCCGCACAAACGGUGGAGCAUGUGGUUUAAUUCGAAAGCUACGCGAGAACCUUACCAGGUCUUGAC